UUUUCGCAUGAGGGAUAGCAACGGCAUCCUCUUAUGAAGCGAUAGCGUAAUAAAAGAUAAAGCGCAUAGCCCGACCUCAC
rnacentral:sRNA from 1 species